UUCGGUGGCUUGCACUAGAUUAUUUACAAUACAUUAUUUUUUUAAAUAUACAUAGAUAUAAUUGUGACGAAUGUACAAACCUAGCAUUAAAAUAUCGUCAUUAAGCAAUAACCAUAGGAAACUAUAUUAAGACGUUUGUUCUUGUCACAUCAGAUAUAAUACCUUUGUUUGCACACUCUGAUUAUGUACAAUUAAGGGUGACGACACAGCUAAUAGACGCAGCACAGCACGCGCAAAAACUCAAGUGGAGAUGGGCGGGACAUGUCGCCCGCAUGACAGACGAAAGAUGGACAAAACUAGUCACUGAAUGGUCAGGUCCAAGCGGAACAAGGAGUAAAGGCAGACCCAAGGACCGCUGGAUUGACGAAAUUCAGAAGAUUGCAGGAAAAGAUUGGAUGAUGAAAGCAAAAAAUCGAAAAAAAUGGAACAAGCUGGAGGAGGCCUAUACCCAGAGCGGGGCCAUGCGUAUAUAUUAGUCUAGAUUUUUAUUGUUUUGUUUUAUGUACAUUCAAUGUAACUUGCAUGGAAAUAAAGGCUAUAUUAUAUUAUAUUA